UUUAAACGCAAUCAAACAUUUUGGUGUUCAACGUUUGACCAUCCGUUUUAUUUGAAAUUUUUUAUAGUUAGUAUUUUUAUUACUAUUUUAUGAUAAAACAUAAAUAGUAUUUUAUACGUGAUAUUUUUUUAUUUUUUUAUAAAAUUUUUAAAUAAGAUGGAUAAUCCAUCGUUAAACCUAAAAACCGAUAACU
rnacentral:pre_miRNA from 1 species